ensembl:lncRNA
UUUACAGUAGAUGGCUAAGUAAACAUAUGUGUGAAAGCUUGUUUAGGUGUUUUUGUGUCAUUUUUCAAGUUGCAUGAAUACAGAUUCUUGUUUCCAUAGAAGUGAAAAGUUUGACACCAACUUUCUAGAGUGAAGAAAUAGCUACUCUCUUCUGUUUUAUUCUGCUCUCACUUUUUUCUGUUUCUGUCCCUGUUCCAGAGGCGUUUUCUCUGAGGAGGAAUGGGAGACAGUGCUUUAUCUCAAAAUUUGGAUGGGAAAAUAGUCUACAGGACAAAAAUAAAAAGAAGGGAACAGUGGUGAAAAGUCAGUUGUACCUUCAGUAUUGUGCCACCCUGGAAGAAUACAUGGCUCUUCCGCUUAUGAUGCAAGCCGAGAUCAAGAAAUGUUCUCACAUCCUCCUCUCAAGCUCUCACUCCUCAAGCAAAACUAAUCCCUACUGAACUCCCAGAAUUCCUCAUAUUCCAGGAUCCCCAACCCGGUAAAGCCCACAUGCGCGCACACACAUAGCAUCCCUCAAGUGGCACUAAUCCUCCUCUUCUGGUUUCAUCUCUCUUCUUGCCUCUCCUGUUUUUCUGAUCUGUCAGUACCAGAGCAAAACUAAUCUUGCCCCCAUCCACUUCCUGUGCUGCGCAUCGCUCUCUCUUCACCCUUAUCUCUCAUAUAACAGUAUAAAUGAUAUUCCAGACGCUGUGAUAGUUUCAGAGACACUCACCUUUAUUGAGCCAUACAUUUACAUUUCCAAAAAGCUAUUGAACUAGAUCUUUUUUUAUAUGCUGAAAAGGUGUGGAAGUUCUUAAAAUGAACUGAUGUUAUGUAUUAAAGCAUUAGCUUUCAUACUUAUAGAUGUAUAGUAAUCCUUCCACAUGUAUGACAUCAGUGACCUAAACAGCCUAUGAACCUGUCACACAUUUGUCAUCUUUGGUUAAACAUCAAAGUGAAUUCACCUCCAUAUUAUUGGCUUCUUUUAAGCACCUCUCAUCCCCAGAGCCCGUCGCCAUCCAGCUGCUAAUCAAUUUGUGCCAGUCUAUUGAUGGCCAAACCACCUGAAAAGCC